rnacentral:ncRNA from 2 species
UACCUUUGCCUCCGUUUUGGUGAAACAAUAGUAUUUCUAGCUAUUUGUUUAAAAGGGAAUCCGGUGAGAAGCCGGAACAGUACCCGCUACUGUGAACACCUUAAUAAAGAGGAAUAUUCUAUCUACAUGCCACUGUCGUAAGACGGGAAGGUUUUAUUCCUUGGGUGAAGUCAGGAAACCUGCCAAAAAAAACUAUUGGAU